UACGGAGGGGGCCAGCGUUGUUCGGAAUUAUUGGGCGUAAAGAGCUCGUAGGCGGCUUGUCACGUCGGGUGUAAAAGCCCGGGGCUUAACCCCGGGUCUGCAUUCGAUACGGGCUAGCUAGAGUGUGGUAGGGGAGAUCGGAAUUCCUGGUGUAGCGGUGAAAUGCGCAGAUAUCAGGAGGAACACCGGUGGCGAAGGCGGGUCUCUGGGCCGAUACUGACGCUGAGGAGCGAAAGCGUGGGGAGCGAACAGG
rnacentral:rRNA from 1 species